rfam:Rattus norvegicus chromosome 7, whole genome shotgun sequence.
GGAGAGAUGGCUCAGAGGUUAAGAGCACUGUCUGUUCUUCCAGAGGUCCUGAGUUCAAUUCUCAGUAACCUCA